CAUCGAGAACCUCAAGAUCGAGGUUGAGAAAUUUUCUGCCUCAUUCGACAUGCCAGGGUUUCAUGUGUCUGAAAUGAAGUACCAAGAUGAGGCCAAUUAAGUAUUGGCUUAAACCUCUGCAACUCUUCCUCUACCUGCGUCUGGAGAUGAAACUAUGCUUUGAUAUCUAAUCAGUUUUAGUAAACUUCAUUUUAUUUUUGAACUUAUUUGUUUGCUUUGGAGAUACUCAUGCAAAUGUCAUACUUGUGUAAUCUGUGGGUUGUCUUGGUCUAAUGUCACGUUCUUGGCUUGUGGAG
rnacentral:misc_RNA from 1 species